UUUCUUGGUCUGAGUGUGAGGGAGAGGAAGAAGUUCACUUAACUUGUUUAUUGGUUUAUUUAAUAAAUCUGAAACUGAACUCAAUUCAGUGAGAGAGCGGGAGAUGCAUGCAUCAUGGUCGCUUGCUUUGGACUUGGGUGAAAGCUGGUUGAGAACUGUAUUUGUAUAUUACGUUUGCUAUUAGUCCCACAUCGGCUACGUCUUUAGCUUUUAAGCGUUUAUAUAACACACGCGAAUAUCUAAGCUUGUCCCUUCGGGGACAUCCGAUAAAAUUGGAACGAUACAGAGAAGAUUAGCAUGGCCCCUGCGCAAGGAUGACACGCACAAAUCGAGAAAUGGUCCAAAUUUUUUUUUGACUUUUUUUUUCCUUCAAUUUCACACUCGUAAGUUUUCUCCGUUCAGGUAUGAUUUCUUUUCUGCAUUUGGUUUUCAAUUCCGUUCCUUUUCACUUAGAUUUUUGUGUUUAGGGUUUUGUUUUCGUUUCUGUAAGUAUUGACGAGGUGCUGAUGACAAUUUUCAAAUUGUGGGUGUCUACUUCUAAUUCAACCUGUAUGUAUACUCUUAUUCCUAUCAAAGUUAAGUUCUAGUUCUGAUUUGGUUAUUAUAGAUAAUUUCAUUGUGUUAUUAUUACGCAUAGUUUCAUUAACGAAAAGAGUGAAAUUUUCACCCAUUUUCCCAAUAAAGGGAAAAGGAAAAAUAUUUACAAGUGUAAAAAAAAUGCCUAUUGUUCAAAAUGUCACGACUAAUCUAUGUCAGUCUUUUGCAGCUGCAGCUCUAUAUCCCAUUGAAGCGAGAAGUAACACGCAAGAAAACACCUUCGGUGCAAGGAAUUGUGAGGCCGCCCAUUGGAUGAUCAUAUCCAAAUUCUUCCUCUGCUUGACUCAGCAAGUCUUGAAACGAAGUUUGAUUCAAGUAUGACAUAGGGAUCACAAACCGCUUCAUUUCCUCUCCAAAGUACACUGCAAGAUAGCUCUUUGGCACAUUUGUGACUUUCAAUGAUGUUUGGCUGCUUCUAAAUGAAGCCCUUACUAUAGCUGCAGGUUUGACACUUCGCUAAUAUACACUUAUAUGAAUAGUUAAGGCUGCAAGGAAUUCAAAUUAAUGGAUUGCCGUUAAUUGCGGGUUUUAGGACAACUCCAUGUGAAUAGCACUGGAAGUCCAUGCGAUUCUGGUCUUCUCCACCUUCUUCAAACAUCACAAGAAGAAUCCAACUUAAUAAUAAUCGGGAAUUGUAAGACCUCCCAUUGGAUGACAAUAACCGAAUUCCUCUUCAGCUUGGCUAAGCAAUUCUUGAAAUAAAGGCUCAUUCAAGAAUGAUAUUGGAAUCAUGAACCUUCUCAUUUUCUCUCCAACAUACACUGCAAGAUGGCCUUUUGGGACUUCCACUUGUUUGCUAGAUGAUUGACUUGCACUAAAUGAUGAUCGUCUAAUACCAGGUCAUUCAUCAACAUUAAGUUGUGUUAUCAAUAUGAAGAGAACAUGUGCCGUGUCUGAUGCCUGUCUGAAAUGAAAUGAAUAGCUAUUAGACGGGCUUCCUUUAGCAGUAGCCAAACAUCCAAAGUAUUGAAUGUGCCAAAGGGCUAUCUUGCAGUGUACGUUGGAGAGCAAAUGAAACGGUUUGUUGUCCCCAUGCCAUACUUGAACCAAGCUUCAUUUCA